AGUGGGGAGGGGGGGACUAGGGAAGGAGGGCAAGGGGGGAGGGCCGGCCAGCUGCCUUUUGGGAAGUAGAAGACAAAAGGGGAGUGGGGGGGGGUUGGCGGGGACGGAAAGGAAAGGGUUUGGGGGGAGGGAUGGCAAGCGAGCUGGGUUGGGUGGGAGAAGGGUGGAGGGGGGGGAGUGGAGGAAGUUAAAUAUGGGUGGUUAAGGGUGGGGCGGGGGAAUGAGGCGGGGAGGGUAUAAAGUUUCAAGGAAAAUAACAGGCUAGGCCUGGUUGGGAAAUCUACAAAACACAGCCAUCCUUUUGGGUUCCACAGAAGUGCUUUGGCAAGUGUGGCCCACUUAGGCGCCCAUCUUGGGAGGAAAAACUAAAAAAAAUUUCUUAAAAUUACCCCAUUUAAAAUGAUACUCUAGUAUCUGACUUAACUAUAAAGCUGAUUCUGCUUUUUGGAAACUAUUGGGAACUGCAUAGAACCAGCUUUUAAAAGAUGACGGUUGGGCCUAUCAGGAAAACGAAUGGUAAUCGAGGUAAACAGGUGGUGGUGAAUUGAAGGCUUGGUACUAUAAGUGUUCGCUGGGUGACUGGGGGGAGGGGAGAUGAUAAUCGUCAGCUGCCAGGUUGUGUCUGUACAAUACAUGGGUCAUUGUAACCUUUCAAUAAAGUACCAUCAGAACCGUGUGUUGUGAACUUGGGAACAAAGGGAUGUUGGGACUGAUAAUUGUAUUGUGACCAUCAUUAAAUGUGAAUGAAACCGGGAGUCAGAAAACUAGAUUGGACUUUUCUAAGGAGCGAAUUGGGUUUUGUACAUUGGAAAAUUGCCUCGAUGAACUUUUGUCAGUCUCGAUAGUACUUCUAGACUUUACCUAGUUUAACUAGUAAUUGUUUAGAAAAUGAGGAUGGUUAAGUGACUUUGUAUCAUGUUCCUUUGCUGAAACAGCCUGAAGGGUCUUUGUGCCAGUGACUCCAACCUGAAGGCGAGGGAGCACAACUUGAUUUUUCUUUGUUGCCAUCUUGUGGUUUUGUUGACUUGGCAAAUCAAAAGUUGAAUUUCAGUCUUGGUUCGUGAUACAAACAAAACUUAAGACCACAGUUUUCUCAGUGUAGAUAGUCCUAGAAAUGUGUAAAGUUAAAUGGCUUAAAAGUAAGUGUAUUUGUAUAGUUAUAAACAGAUGACUUGUAAAUGACUAACAUUUUCCUCCCUUAAGCAGCACAAAUAAAAAUUUUGAAGUUUUUCGUUUUUUUCCAAACUUUCAUGUUGCUAUUGUAUUUUUAUCGUCUAUUUGUACUGAAAACUUGGGUUACUUUGGGUUAAAUCCUUUUAGGUACAUGGUAUCUAUACUUUAUUUUCCUAAUGCAGUGUGAAAUGUGAUUUUAUGUUGACCUGUACGAUUUGUCAAGACAGUUUAUGUCCACACCCUAAUGUUUACUAAGAAUGCUCUAGGAGGUAUAAAAGCUCACCCCGUGGUAAUUUUCAACUAAACAGUAUCUUUGUCAUUGAUUGCACUGUAACCUGUUGGUAUUUGUGUGAAAUACAAAUUGCUGUGAGUCCCGUGAUGGGCAUAUAUGUAUUGGUGCAAAUACUGGGGGACAUUACAACAUUGUCAUGGACUGUUUGAAAGAGGUGACCAGAGACUCCUUGCCUCGGAGGUCAGGCUGGGGUACUCUUAUCUAGGAUGGUGGCCAUCUGCUGGACAUUAAUGUUGCAGCCAAGUGCUGAGGUGACAGACCUAAAGUGUAAUAUUUUACAGUUUGGUUGUGGAGAAUGGCCUCUCUUUCCCCCCCCCCCCCCCAAAGAAUGGCCUCUCUUUCCCCCCCCCCCCCAAAUUGUGGUACCACGUGCUUUGAGAUGUUUCUGGAGUCUGGCUGUCCCACUGCCUCUUGGGCAGGAGGGGAGGGGCAGGCCCAGUUCCAGUUCUGGUUUAGCAACUAAAAGCCCAACAAGUGGCAGCAGUUGCGCCAUCUCUAGGGCCCUAUACUAUGAAAAACUAUUGAAGGGAGAUGUUUUGGCCAGUGUGUUUAUCGAAUGUCCUAAAAUUGAAGGCUUGUGUGAAUCCGAGUUGGUGUCUAACCUACCACCAAGGUCAAGGUUCAAUCUGAACAAUAAAUGAGAAUUGGCAUUUGGGAAGGGGGAGUAUAUCGAGUGUACUAGUCAAAGGUUUGUCCCAGGUCAGAACAACCCGAUUUCCACCACCUGCCCCACGGGGGAGCAAGUCCAGAAGUAAUCUCUAAUUGUCUCUUCCUUCCUCAGUGCCAGGCUGGAUUCAGGUGAGCCAACUUUUUGUACAUCAGUGUUUUGACCCCGAUUUCAUUAGUGUGAUUACACUUGCUGGAUGGUUUGAUUAAAUUAUCAAACUGGCUUUCUACUUCUGUAAUGGGGGGGGAUUGUCGGAGGUGAACAAGUCUCAGUAUUGGUGUGCACCCUUUGAAUUGGGUGAGAUGAUAAAGCAAAAAGUGGAAAUGUCAAUAGUUGUGAUGCAUAAGUGAUUGUGGAUUCUGAAACUAGAUAAGUUUAAGGCUCUGGCCUUUAGGUGAACUGUUCCUGGUGCUGGGGUCAAAUGGUAUCCUUGGGGACCUUUCUCAGCGCAGUGUACCCUGUCCACAAUGUUCCUCACUUUUCCCCACGGUUACACUUGUGAGCUGGAGACCACCAUUUUUCCCAACUGGGCAUGUCUGUACUGGCCCUCCUGGUGUUAAGUACUGUGGAGAUCUUUGUGUCCCUCCAGAGGGAAGGUUAGCUUGUGAAGCAUUGCUUUGAGUGCCUGCACUUGUGCAGACCCAGCCCUGGGGAGAUCGGGACAAACGGAAAAGGCUUGGGCCUUGUUAGGACAGAGUCUGGUCCUUGUCUUGCUGGCCCCCCGCAUGGAGUCUGGCUCUUGUGACUUGACAUUCAUGUGCUUGGUCCCACUCAGCACAGACCAUUUAUUUGUCAAGAUUGAUUUGACGGUCCCCAUCAUCCCACUUGUGGAUCCUUGGGAUUGUUAGGACACCUUGGCAACCUGGGUCAGUGCUGAGCAGGUCUACUUCCCUCCCUCUGCACCACUUUGCCCAGAGCCUCUCUCUGUUGCCCCUUGCCGGUGCCCAGGAGGUUGGGUCCGGUAUGCCAGGGCCUUCCUUCUCCCUUGGCCUUUCCCCCCCACUUUGGGACCCCCCCAUUCUCAGGCCAUUCUGCCUUGUCUGCUGGGGUCCCCUUUCUGCUUUUGCCUGAUCAGGAGGAGACAGGCCCCCAGGGAAGGCAGCUCUUGUACCUCACUGUGGCCUAGGCCAGUCUCCUUCCUUGGAGCAGCCCCCACUGUGAGGUCCUGGGCUCUGCAUGUUUGCAGACCUCCAGUCUGGGUCAUCCACCCUGAUGCUUCAGCCUUCUCUGUCCUGUUCACUCCUGUACCCCAAUGGUCUUGAGCCUUAGGGGGCUUCUUGGUGGUUAUCCUGCUGGAUGCAGCCACCUGGCCUUUGGUCACUUGCUCCCUAUUGCUACCUCCCCCCACUUGGCAUCCUUGCCUCCUGCCUUAUCUUAACCUAUUCUGUGUUUGCUGCCAGAUGCUACAGACUCCUCUCCCGCCCCCAACUGUCUUAUCUCCCCGUGCUUCAUAAGGUGUGAUACUCAGCAUUUAUUAUAUGAUAUUCUUAAGGCAAUGAUGGGCCGUGUUUAGGUGUCACAAACCGCAUUAUGACGUUUCUGUGCUAGUCCGUUCUGUGACUGCACUGGGAAGUUCUUGCCUCCUUGUAACCACUCUACAACACCCUGGAUGAUGCUUUUAGGCUGCUGGGUAAGAGUGGAAAGUGUUGGGACAAAAUACUUAGGUUCUGAACCUUUAAAACUUUUCUAUAUAUUGAGUUUACACAUUUUUGUGCCAGACUUGUGGCCAGGGACCUCUUGCCAACUCACAACCCACUCUCCCAGUCCUGGACCAGUCUCACGGAUAGAACAAGGUGCUAUAUGUCAGUCUUAAAUUUGCAUUUCUGGUCAUUUGAGUCAUUUCUCAGAUGGGACUUAGUAGAUGGGGUUGUAAUUUUUGAUCAAUUACAUAAUGAGAAAUGAAUCUUGAAUAGAAUCUAAUUUGUUUUAGGUGAGAUUUUGAUCAAAAAUGGACUUUUCUCUGCAUUUUCUUAUUCUGGAUUUAUUUUUGAGGUAUUGAAAACUUUAGGUAAUCAAAUCAAUAUUUUUGUAGAAAAAAAUUCCGUACUUGUGAUAACUUCUCAUUUUUCUGCUUCUCUUAUUGUGGCUUUUUCAAUUGGUUCCUUGGCACUUAAUUAGAAAAGCACCAGAUGGUAUGAAGUGGAUUUGAUUUCAUUCUUAAAAUGUUAAUAACCUUGCAAUAAUCUUGAGGAAAGACCAGUUGGUUAUUUUUAAUGUUGAAAUCCUUAAAUUGACUCUUGAAAUCCAGUUCAUAUGGUCACAUCUGGGAAGCUUUCUGACUUUUCUAAACCCUCCCACAUGGCUCUUUUCCCUUUUUGGACCUGAUCUAGAACCUUGGCCCCUUUGGGCACUUCUAUCUGAGCUCUGUUUGCCAGGACUAUCUUCCAGCUCCUGGAGUGCAAACCUGUGGAAAAGCCUCAGGAGCCCAUAAUGUACCUUAAAACAGUAGCUAGACAGGGUGUGGCAGGACGAGCUGUUGGAAGGAUGGCAAGGUCAAGGUUUCCUAUGUUCAGUCAAUGCUGAGUUUGCACCAGCAUCCUGGAGACAUUGGGUAUCUGGGCUCCACUCUGAUCCUUGGGAGUAGCUGAGAUCUGGUUCCCAUGGCUCCAGGACAGGCUGGUCCAAACUCCUUUUUACUUUGAGAACAGGCGUGUUCAGCUUUGUUCACUUAUUCUAGAUUUUAGUUUUUGGGAGUAGGAUUUUCACGUAUACAUACACAUCAGUGUAUUUAUCUAGGGUCUAAAAUGUCUCCCCACUCCUAGAACUGGGCUAGUUGGACCUAGACAAAAAGGCAAUGCUUCGGUUCUUUUAGAGACUGAAUUAUGUGCAAUCUACUAUACUAAAUUUCUACUAAAUGUUAUAUACUGAAAGAGAAACUACCAUAUAAGGCUCUGAGGACAGCUCCCCGCCUGUGAUGGAACUCCUGACUUCCAUUUUAUAUUUGAACGCUUGUGCCAGUGCCGUCCAUUUUAGUCUGAAUGCCAUGGUUAUUUGAAAUGCAUGUUACAAUAGGUUUUUUCCAGUCAUUCCUUUUUUAGAUCAUUGGUUUUUGUUUGUUUGUUUGUUUGUUUUUGUACAAAACUAUUUAUACAAUCAUUUAAUUUCCUAUAAUUUGUAUACUGGCAAAAAUUUCCCUAAUUCAGUGAUAUGUAGAUUGAGCAAUUCUAUAUUAUUUCCUCACUUUUAUUGUUUUGCAAUAGGAAGUAUCUGGUGCUGUUUAUCAUCCUUUUCUGUUCCCCACCUAUCUACCCAAAUACUGCCAUCAAUUUUCCUCUGAGUAAUAGAAUUCCUUUUAUUUUUUAUUUAUUUUGUGAUGUAGAGAUUCAGUUCUAUUUGAAGGUUACUUGCUAUGUUUAUUGAUAUUUUCUCAUUUAUAUCUAGUGCUGGACGCUCAUUGUUUUAAGUCUUCUCCGUAAUUUUCUUUUUCAUUUGUUACACAUUUUUUUUUUUUUUUUUUUUUUUUAAAGUAAGCUAGUCUGUGGAUUCCUGGGGCAAUGCAAGAUCAGUGACCCAAACUCAGUAUAUUAUAGAACCCAGCCGUGUGCUUUGAUAUUUGCUGUUUGAGAUUUCUCUAAACUGUUUAGCAAUUGUCUUUAUGGGUGCCCAAGAAUUCAGUGGGUUCUGUUAUAAAUGGUAUUUCUAUUAUUUAUUUUUGGUGAGGUAAAUUGAUUUUAAGUGACUUGCCCAGGGUGACGCAGCUAGGAAGUGUCAUCCAGCUGUUCUUCAGUUGUUUGUUUUUAUAGGAUUAUCAUAGCCUGUUUUUCUUCCCAAGUUAUCACAAACUAUCCCAAGUUUGUGAACUUUCACAAACAGUAGCAAUAGUUCCUUCCCGAAUGAUGGUGUAGUUUUCCCAGAGUUUGCAUUUAUUCUCUCUACUUUAUUUCCCAUAUUCUUGAAUUCAACGUUGCAGACAUAGUAUUCUAUCAGGGUAUAUUAUGGCUACAAGAUAUUUGCGCUAUUCUGGUUGGAGUAAUUUAAUGUAGGUACCGAUUGUCAUUUUGAAAACUACCUGUUUAUCCUUUGCUCGUUUGGUCUUGGAAAAUGAACAAUCUUUUUUUUUUUUUUUUUUUUUUUUUUUUUUUGACAAAAAUCAUUUUAUUAAAUAUAGCAUAAAUAGCACUUAAAAAGACACAUGAAGCCCUUGUAACUUUUCGAAGAAAUUGAAUUUUUGCAGAUCUGUUGAUAUGAUGGGGGGGAAAAAACAAUUUUCCUUGGUAAUCCUCAAAAUUCUCUUUACUUUUGAACCUUAUGUAGUUUUGUUGUUGUUGUUGUUGUUGUUUUUUUUCCUUAAAUGCAGGCAGACAAAAAUAAGAGGGAUUGAGAAUUCUAUGUAGUGGUUAAUAGUCAUCUCCCAGAGUAAUGAACAAUAUUCUUAUAAAUUCUUUAUUUUCAAUGUCAGACUUUUAUCAUAAAACUUACAUAAAAUCUAUAACUUGCUCCAUUUGUUUUGAAUAAAUAAUGAUUUUCCACCAGAAUAAUUGUGAAAAAAACAUCUUUUUAUCUCCUAAUUCUACAAAACUUUAAAAAUGUAACCUUGCAAUUUAUUUGGACAUACAGUGUGAGGGGUGGCUCGUACGUUUGCCAUGUGCUAUCAGUUUUCCUGUCUAUUUAAUAAUUCACCCCUUCCUCGAUGCUUUGAUACUGGGUUUCCCAAACAGUCCAUUCUAGGCAGGUUUUCACUUUAAGCUGAUAAUUUGCUUCAUUUAAUUUUAUUACAAAAUAUUUUGCAAUUCAACAAUCUCCCUUUUUUUCCUCUUAUGUAAAUUUUAUUAACAAAUAACAUGUUUUAUCAGGUUUUCAAAAAACUUUCUCAAUGAGGAUCAAACAGGAUAAUGUUAACCUCCUCCCAGGAGUUGGGUCCAACCUCAAUUGACCCCCCUUACCCCUCCAAAAUUGACCUGCCCUGACUAGUCACACAGCUGAAUGGAAACAUCUUCCAGACUUCUCUACAGCCCUCCCUAGUUGCCAUGUUCUCUGAAGUAGUUUAUUCAUCCUGAGACACUCAGCCCAAAACAAUAAUGGUUAAAUAAUAAAUAGUUCUUCACACUGAGAUUCCAGUCUGUUCCGCGAUUCUCCAUUGGCUAUUUUCUUUAUAGAUCAUACCACUAUGCAUGUUCUAGAGCCAGGUUUUUUUGUUAUUGUUUUCCUUUUUAAUAUUUUUGCAAAGUAAAGCUCAUAAUGGGACUCCUGUAGUAAAAAAAAAAAAAAAAAAAAAAAAAAAAAAAAUCCAAGGAAUAUUAUGGUUCUUUAUUAUGAUUCCAUGUUUCACUUGGAAAAAAUAGACCAAUUCCUGUUGUUGUGUGACUUUCACCAUGGUUCUCCAAGCAUCGGGUGUGGUCUUUCCCAUAUUCCCAUAUUUGAGGUAUUAUUUGAGUUCUUGUUUGCAGUUCCAUUGCUAAUUUGAACAUUUCUAUGUACGUUCUAAUUUUUUUGAGAAGUUUAUAAUCUUUUGAUCAUUGUCAUUUGGUGAAUUAUCAUUAUGUGUGAAUUAAGGAACUUUAUAUUUAUCUAAUAGUUUUGUUAUACAAAUUCAUUUUUUCUCUACCACAAUUGCCUUAAGUAGCUAAUAAUUUCCCAUUUUCCUGAUUUAUUAGUCCUUUUUAAAUUCGGUAUGGUGGUUUAAAAGUAUUGCGGUUUGGUUGCAGGGUACAUCUAAAUCCAUUUUCCCAAAAGAAACGUGAGAUGUGCAAAAUUAGAGAAAUGACCCCCAGUGUUCGUGGGGACUAUGUGUCUAACCUGUGCCAGCAUUCUGAGCUUGUAUUGGGCUGAUCAGCCAAGUCGGACUUAGUGUAACCCUAAUAUAGUGAUGUCAUUUUGGUCUCCUAGGACAAAGGACGGCCACCAUAACAAUACACAACUUCUGGUUUCCCUCUCUGUGCUUUGGUAUUUUAGUCUAUCACAUGAUGUACGUGUGUGCUUCCAUUUAAGCCUUUUUGAUUUAGAUUCAUUGACCUUUCCCCAUUUAUAUCUGUUACUAGGUAGGUUUCUUUGUACUGCGAGUAAUUUUGAAACCUAGUUGUAUAAAUCUUUUAAUCUGUUUCUUACUCUGCCUCUUGAUUUAUUGCUUAAAUUGUAUUUCAUUCAUCAACAGGCCGUGGAUACUGAGACAACAAGUGAACCUGGGUGCCAGGUAGACUCUGUCCAGUUUGUUUUUCUAAAAAUGGUGAUAACUUAUAUGUAUUUUAUUAUGUCCCGUUAUAAAUGUUCUUUCUUGAAUGAAUUGUGAUCCUUUUGCUAGAGAAUGAUCAAGAAAUGUUGAUAAGUUACUCAAUAGCCUGUUUUUAUUCCUCAUUCCUGUGUCAUGAUUAGGUUUCUUUUUACGGAGGACUUUGUUGCCACCCCAUGGUGGUGUAUCAUGAUGGCAGAGGCCAGCUCCGAUCCCGGCUUUUCCCUUCUCUCCCCAAAUUCUUAGCUGGGCACUUACAAACGAGAGAUGCUUUAUAAUCAUGGGAUUUAAUGCUAUGGGAUAACCAGGAAUACUGACUUUGUGGGGAUAGAGGAUUUGAGAUUGUCAGAGCUUCCCUAUUGGAAGUGAAUCCUGAGAUGACCAUAAAGACUUAGAUCUUUCGAAGACUUUGAUCUCUGAAGAUCUCUGAAGAGAUCAUGUUGUUCAUGGUGUUGCUGUGAGUGUGGGGGACACUGUACUCCAUUUACCGCCCUGCAAUGUCCUUUUGGCAAUGUGUGUGUGCCCAGACUUGGAUUUAAGGUGAUUCAAAGCCUGCCGUCCCCCAUGAUCCAAUGCCAUCUCUAUCUCCAGUUCCCAGACCGGGGUUUCCCAUAUGCUGGGCUUCCAGAUCCAUUCCUUGUUCUCACACCUUCUCCCCCACUUCCUCCUGGUGACCCUCCCUAAGCCUGGAUAGCUCCUGUUAUCCACCUCCUCCACGAAGUAAUUGAAUCAAUUUUAGGAUGUAAAAACAUUGGAAAAAAAAUCAUCAGAAAAUCGAACAUGGCAUGGCUCCAGUUAUCCCCCUCAUUACAGCUCUAAGGUAAUUGGGUUCGCUGGGAAGCUGGAACAUGCAGGGUCAGUCACCAGGGCUGUCCUCCCCAAGCCUUCAGGAUGCUACAUUGUUCUAUCUUCCUGCCCCUGAGGUAAUACCAUUUUUCAUUGACCUUAUUUCCAGAUCUGGUUGGUUUCCAUUAAUCCUACUUUAGAUUUUGAGAUCAAACUGUAACCUUUUCCUCCUGUUUUCUUUCUCAUUGUAAAUAAUAAUAGCCUCUGACUAGCCUUGAAGUUUUUCAGAGAGCUUUAUUUAGGUGACUUUUGUUGAUCCUUAUAAUCUCCAUUUCAUGACUCUGGAAACUGAGGCCCAGAGAGGUUGACUAAUAAAUGUGGGAGGCAGGAGCCAAAAUGAUGUUGGUCUGUAAAGUAACUUAAGGACAAAAGUAACUUGAUCUGCUUAAGAGAAGGCCAUAUAAAAUCGGCAUUUUAAGUAGGGAGAGUUUUGUAGUUUUUAGAAACCUAAUUUUAUUCUCUUAAAAAAAAAAAACAAAAAACUGCACUAUCCCCCUUGUGGUUAGUUGUGUCCCCCUCCAGGUAUUUGUAGUGGGUAUAAUUCUGACUAGUGAAUAUUCUUUUGGAUCUGCUUUAAUAUCAUGUGAUUUCUUCCCAUAGUUCUUUAAAAAAAAUUUAGACUGAUUUUUUUUUUUUAGAGUUGUGAUUAUAAGCCAAAUGUUUGUGAAUUGUGCAGUCGAUUAUCGUAAAUUAAUUUUCACCAAUUUCAUUUUUAUUUGUUAGAGAACAAUAUUUUAAACUGGUAUUGGUGGUUUUAUCCUAAUCCUGUUUCUGCUGAAGUUACUGUCUUGGCCAGGUCCAUUAUUAUUAUUAUUGUCCAUUAUUAUCGUCUGUUAAUGUACUGUAUUAGUCACUGUAGUCCCACAGAUCACAGGUGAUCUGGUUUUGAUUUGCCACCAACCUCAAUGCUGCUAACCAUAGGUGCUCCAGAGUCCCAUGGGAUAGGUGUAAAGACCCUGUGCUUGGGUAUACCGUAAAGAUCGUAUUCCUUUUUCUCUGAAGGGAACACACACUCCUUAGUACUCUUAUGAGUGCUGUCUCUCUAGAGUGAGAUCAGAAUCCAUUUAUUCUUCUGAAAUUCCAUGGGUCCUUUCCUUAUGUGUCUCUGAUUCAAAGCCUCUUCUGGCCCCAUGAUCUGGUCUCGCCUCCCUUUAGAGCCCCAGACGGACUGCCCUGUUGGGGUCUCCCACAUGCUCUGCUUCCCUGAAAUUCAAUGUUUUCUUUAUGCCUUGUAACUAUUCCAGCCCCAGCUGAUGAGCUCCCCUGGCCCUUUGGUUUCUUCUGUCCCCUCAUUAUUUUCAUAUGAUGUUUUUAGAUAAAUAGGUUUUAUGUCUCAUCCUAUUUUUGUUAAAUCCCAGGAGAAGGCCAGGCGCUUUUUGCUUACUUGGCCACUUUGUGCCCUCUCUCCCCCUUCUCCGUAGCCCAGAAUUUGCUCAAGCUGUAUAUUUUCUCCUCUUUCAGCCCUUUCACUUCGGUGACUUUUCUUGGGCCUCAAGAAACAAAACUUGGUUUUAGCUCUAGCCUAGGUUGGUAAUUGUAGGAUAUAAAAGUUUUUAAAGAGACGCCUUCCAGUAAUUAUGGUAUAUUUUUAUUCUCUUUAAUAAGUAUUAUCAAUCAACCAACAUUUAUGUUCUCCCUACGCAGAGUUUAUAUAAUCAGUGGUCAGUGUGAAUAUUACUUUGGUUCUAUAAAAUUUGAUUACCUUCCCAUGUUUUUUUUUUUUUUUUUUUUCAUGAUUCUCAUUUCAAUGUUCUGUCAUGUUCCAGUUAUCAUGGCUUUGCUGCCAUUUCCCAGUGCUUAGCCGGGUGAAUUUCCAGGGCUUUGUUAUAGAUGAGUGUUUCUCAAACUUUUGUUCUCAGUAUCUUCAUGUUAAAAAACUAUCCAAGAUCUGUUCAAAGAGUUUUUGUUCAUAUGGAUUAUAUUUAUAGCUAUUUACUAUAUUAGAAAUAAAAAAAUAAUUUUGAAUUUGUAGAUCCUCUGAAAGGGUUUCAGAGACCCCAACAAUUCUUUGGACUACACUUUGAGGACCACUGUAGAUACUGCUGCCAUGCAUAGGCAAAUGAGUCCAGUAUUUCUUUAUAGGGUAGCCCUUGGAGUGGGAGCCCUGGGACGAAAAGGUCUAAGAAAUAAUGUCAUUUCUCAUUAUGCUAUCCCAUAUUUCAGUAAGAAUGAGAUCAGUUCUUAGCUGCCCCAGCAGGGUUACGAUGUGCCUCUCUUGCCAUGGCUCUACCAGCGAUGCUUUAUCGAUUCUAGUCAUAGAGUAUUUUAUCUGAAUUCUCUGCAUUUUUCUUAUAGGUCUUAACAUGUAAUUGUGAAUUUAUAGUUCUUGAAAACUUUUUUUAUGGUAAUUCAUUAGGUCAUUUCUUUUGCAAUUUGUUAUAUACAGUGAGAUAUAUCUAGUCUCAUUUUUCCUGCCUAUUAGAUCCUUUCCCUAGUAUUUUGAUAAUUUAAAUUAUCAUAGUUUUAUGCCUUUUGUUGAUGGGGAGUUAUUUAAUUUGAUUCACUGCUCAUUUCUUAUUUACAUCUUAUAUGUAUGCAUAUAUUACAGCUGUACCUAGAUGUGUACAUAUAUCUAAUACACCAUUUCUAGUUAUUGCAUAAGCUAUAUUGCUAUGUAAGCAGCAAAAUUCGAUGAAUGAUUUUGGGCCCUGGGUUUGACUGUCCAAUUUAAUUUUUAUUCCUCUAAAGCUGGUAGAGUUGACUGAAGGUCUAACACGUGUCUUGCCCAAAUACUUUAUAGAUUCUUCUGUUGUAAAUGGCCUUUCAAUCAAUUUCUUCUUCUUGGUGAUUUUAGUUAAAAAAUGCUAAGGACUGUUGACAGUUGGAUGGGCUACUUGGCUCCUGGUUUUUGCUACAGCUGGCUAGCACUACAUUUUCAUCAGGUGUGUCUUUGUCUCUUGUCUCCCCAUGUUUUAUUUCAUUCAUAUUUAUAACUUCUUAUGGUAUACGAAUGUUGCAUCAUUUGGAUGGUACAGUUUGUUCAGGCCAUUAUCCCAGUUGUCACAUGUGAUGGAUUUCUAGGAUUUUUGCCCUUGAAACUAAUACUGCUUCCCACAUGUCAUCUAUGCUGUCUUCUCCCUGUUAUGCCCUAGAAUGUAGCUUAAUGGAGAAAUACUGAAGUGAAAGAAUAUAAAUGCAGGAGUUGUUUAUUGUAUUCCACUUCACAGCUCCCCGACUGUCUCAGUGUGCCCAUUUGCCCCCAGCUCACUGGGCAUCCCAUGGUGGCUUUCUUAAUUUCUUAAUCUUUUCCAUUUCUUCCCUUAGUUUGAAUACUUUCCUGGAGUUAAUGGUUUCUAUUUUGACAUCUGCAUUGUUUCUAUCCUUUGGCACUUUGAAUAUUAUAAAUUUGGCCAUUUAAUUUGAGGCCAGGAUUUGCAAUCAUUUAUUUUGUCUCCUGUCCUGUUUGUUGAAUUAAGUAUUUCUCCCCAUGAGGAAAAUUAUUUUACAAAGGUUCCAUGGGAAUCACGUGUACAUCUGUAAUAUGUUGGAGUGUGUCGUAGGACCCCAUUUUGCCAAAUCCUGUAACCCACUUUUCCUGUCAUUCAGUAAUAAUGUCUGUUUCUCAGCACUUUGAUAAUGGAUUUGUUGUCUACUCUAACGUGCUUUUAGUUUCACUUGAGUUACUGCAGUGCUGCUCAGAAACUUUAUCUUCCCUUAGCUUCUCUUUCAUGUGGUUCAGAGCCUCCCAUUACUUUAUGGCUUUAGCCAGACUGGACUGGUAAAAGCUCCCCUAGAUGCUCUGCUUUCAGCCCUUUCCCUAGGCCUUGUGAUCUCCUCCGAACCCUCAGUUUGAGCCACCCCCUUCCCCUUUAGACUUCUCACAACACUUGAUUUCACCCUCCCUUGUAUUUCUCAAAUAAUGUUGGGUAGUCAUCUGUGUUAGUCUUCCUCUGAUCUGCAUUGAUCUGCUGGGUCUCAUCCUGGUUAUUCCAGGUCCUGCCUACUAUAGGGGGUUUGUCCCACUCCUGUUGUACAAUGAGACGCCCCCUGUACCUUUUUAUGUGAUUGGUAAUUUCAGAGCGUUAACAAAGUAAAAUAGAAAAAAGUUUCAUUUUAACUGGCGGUUUUUUCUUUAAUUAGCAGUGACAUUUCUCAUGAUUUUUAUUUGCAUUUAUUCUUUCAGAUUCAGUUUGGUUUCAUGGUUAUGUGUUCAUGGUACUUCUAUUUUUUAAUCUUUAUUUGUUCUUUUUCAUGGCACCACACGUCCCACGCAGGCUAGCAUGACUUACCUUGUCGUUGGUCUCCGAUUACUGGCAGGUGUAGUUUGAGAUUCUUGUAAUUGUAUUAGGACAUUGUGCUCAGGCUUUUGGUUUCCUGUCAGGGGGUUUGCCUAGUAGCUUAGUGUCCAGAGGAGAUUGUAAUUGUGUUCCUUUUGUUAUUUAAAAAAGCUUAUUCUGAGCUCUGUGGACUCAGCCCUGCAGCCUUCUCCCGGGCCCUUAGCCUCCAUUCUCUGUCAGUAGAAUUUUCCCCAAGCUCUGUGAAGUCCAGCUCAAAGAUGGCCUCUUUGUGGCCUUCCCUGAUCCGACAAUGACCUUUCUUUAGCCUCAAGUGUGAAGGUACUUGGUUUCAAGCUAGGAGCUACUUAAAGGCUGAUAAUUUUAGGAUAUAAAAUAUUUUCUUGUUAUGCGUACAACUAUUUACUUUUUUUAAUUAUUUGGUCUUAGUGCAUAUUUCUCUGUGAAUUGUGUUGAGGGGGAAAAUUAGGAAAAAAGGGAAAAACCAUGGGAGAGAGAAAACAAAAACAAAAGUGAACAUAACGUGUAGAUUUGCAUUCAGUCUCCUUAGUUCUUUUUCUGGAGACAGAUGGUAUUUUCUGUCCAAAGUCUAUUGGGGUUGACUUGAAUCAUUGAACCACUGAGAAGAACCAAGCCUUUCUUUUUCUUUUCUUUUCUUUUCUUUUUUUUUUUUUUUAUAUAGCUUUUUAUUUACAAGUUAUAUGUAUGGGUAAUUUUGCAACGCUGACAAUUGCCAAACUUUUCGUUCCAAUUUUUCCCCUCCUUCCUCCUAUCCCCUCCCCAGAUGGCAGGAUGACCGGUAGAUGUUAAAUAUAUUAAAGUAUAAAUUAGAUACACAAUAAGUAUACAUGACCAGACCGUUAUUUUGCUGUACAAAAAGAAUCGGACUCAGAAAUAGUGUACAAUUAGCCUGUGAAGGCAAUCCAAAAUGCAGGCAGGCAAAAAUAAGGUAUUGGGAAUUCAAUGUAAUGAACCAAGCUUUUCUUAGUUGAUCAUUAGAACAAUCUUGCUAUUACUGUGUCCAAUGUAUUCCUGGUUGUGCUUGUUUCUCUAAGCAUUGGUUCAUAUAAAUCUUUACAGGCCUUUCUAAAAUCAGCUUAUUCAUUAUUUUUUACACAAUAAUAUUCCAUUGCUUUCAUGUACCACAACUUGUUCAGCCAUUCCCCAAUUGAUGGGCAUCUAUUCCUUUUCCAAUUCUUUGCUAUCACAAAAAGAAUAGGUACAGUUUUGCAUGUGUGGGUCCUUUUCCCUCCUUUAUGAUUUCCUUAGAAUACAAACUCAAUAAUAGUAUUGCUGGGUCAAAGGGUAUACAGUUUUAUAGUUUAUAGUUCUUUAGGCAUAGUUCCUAUUGCUCUCCAGAAUGUUUGGAUCAUUUCACAAUUCCACCAACAAUGCAUCAGUGUCCCAGUUUUCCACAUCCCCUCCAACAUUUAUCAUCUUUUCCUAUCAUUGUAGCCAGUCUGAGAGAUGUGAGGUGGUAUGUCAGAGUUAUUUUAAUUUGCAUUUCUCUAAUCUAUAGUGAUUUAGAACAUUUUUUCAUAUAACUAUAAUGUGGCAUUAAUUUCAUUUUCUGAAAAUUGCCUGUUCGUGUCCUUUGACCAUUAUCAAUUGGGGAAUGACUUGUAAUCUUAUAAAUCUGACAAGAUUCUUUAUAUAUUUUAGAAAUGAGACCUUUAUCAAAAAUGCUGCCUGUAAAGAUUUUUCCCAGCAAAAAUCGGUACUUUCCUUUUAAUUUUGCUUCUGUUGGUUUUGUUUGCAAAAUUUAUUUGAUUUAUGUAUUUUUAUUUUAAUUUAUAAAUAUUUAUUUAUGAAUUGAUUCAUUUAUUUGCUGUAAUCAAAGUUGUCCAUUUUGCCUUUUAUAAUAUUUUCUAGUUCUUUGGUUAUAAAUUCCUCCCUUUUCCAAAGAUCUGAUAACUCAAGUGUCCCUUAUUUCCUGACUUGUUUACAGUAUCACCCUUUAAGCUCAAAUCAUGUAUCCAUUUUGACCUUAUUUUGGUAUGAGUGUGAGGUAUAGAUCUAUGCCAAGUCUCUGACAUUGGUUUCCAGUUUUCCCAGAAAUUUUUGUCAAAUACAGACUUCUUACUCCAGAAGUUGGAGUUGAGGGUUUAUCAAAUAUUAUAGGUCUUGCUUUAAAUGUGUCAUGCAUAUUUAAUCUAUUCCAUUGAUCCACCACUCUACUUCUUAGCCAGUACCAAAUGGUUCUGAUUACUGCUACUUUGUAAAGUUGUUUUAGGUCUGGUACUGCUAAACCAUGAUCCUUUGUAUUUUUUUUUUUCCAUUAAUUCCCCUGAUAUUCUUGAUCUUUUGUUCUUCCAGAUGAAUUUUAUUUUUUCUAGCUCUAUAAAAUAAUGUUUUGGUAGAUUGGUAUGGCACUGAACCGGUUCCAAUUGUUCAAAUCUGAUUUUAUUUAUGUGAGACGUGUUUUGCAACUGUGUUUAUAUAGCUCUGGAGUUUGUCUUGACACGUAGGAUCUCCCUCCCCCAAGUAUUUUAUUUCGUCUACAGUAAUUUUAAGUGGAAUUUCUCUAUCUCUUGCUGAUGAGUUUGGUCAGUAAUAUAUAGAAAUGCUGAUUUGUGUGGGUUUGUUUUAUAUCCUGCAACUUAGUAAAGCUGUGAAUUAUUUCCAGUAGGUUUGGGGAUGAUUUUCUAGGAUAAUACUUAUCAUCAUAUCUGCAAAAAGUAAUAGUUUUAUUUCCUCAUUGCUUCUUCUAGUUCCUCUCUUUUUCUUAUUGCUAAAACCAGUAUUUCUAGUACAAUGUUAAAUAAUAGUGGUGAUAAUGGGCAUUCUAGUUUCAUUCCUGAUCUUUUUGAGAAUGCAUCUAGUUUCUUUCCAUUACAAAUUAUACUUGCUGUAGGUUUUAGAUAGAUACUGCUUAUUGUUUUAAGGAAAGCUCCCUUUAUCCCUAUGCUCUCUAAUGUUUUUGAUAGGAGUGGGUGAUGUAUUUUGUCAAAACUUUUUCCAUUUCUAAUGAGAUUCUCAUGGUUUCCAUUGGUUUUGUUAUUGAUAUAGUCCAUUUUGGUAAUAGUUUGCCUGAUAUUGAACCAGCCCUGCUUUCCUGGUAUAAAACCCACUUGGUCUAGUAUAUUAUCCUGCUGAUAAGUUGCUGUAAUCUCUUUGUUAAUAUUUUAUUUAAAAUUUUUGCAUCAAUAUUCAUUAGGGAGAUUGGUCUGUAAUUUCCUGUUUUGGUUCUUUCUGAUUUAGGUAUUGGUGCCAUAUUUGUGUCAUAGAAGGAAUUUGGCAGGACUCCAUCUAUUUGGUUUUUUUUUAAUGUUUGGUAGAAUUCACUUGUGAAUCCAUCAGGCCCUAGAAAUUUUUUUUUAGGGAGUUGAUUAAUGACUUGUUCAAUUUCUUUUUCUGAAAUGGGACUUUGUAAUUUUUUUUCCUCUACUGUUAACCUAUAUAUAAAAUGAUUGGAAACAACUAACCCAGGCUUUUUAAAACUAUUAUUUAGGAUGACUUUUUUUCUCUCUAAAAAGCCAGAUCAGUUUGCCCUCUUUGUAAUUACCCAAACUAGAAACGCCAGGAGGAAAUUCAUAAAUGUUCCAAUCAAUAUAAAUAUUUAUUUUAAUUUUUUGCUUUACUAUUUUACAUUUUUUUCACAUAAAAAAAAAGGUACCAUAUAUUCAGAUUAUCAUCAUUUGCUUAGCUCUUCCUCAACUGUUGCAUUCCUUGAGCUUUUUUGUUAUAAAUAAUGCUGCUACAUUUUUUUAUAGUUGGGUCUUUUGUUCCCUUGAAAGGCAUAACCCCAUGGUGGGAUUCACUGUAUUAUGCAUAUAAGCAUGCAAUAUCAAUUUAUAAUAGCUCCAUCACUCACAAGGUGCCUCUUUUGCCCCACUUCAACCAACAUUACUGUCUUGUACAAUCUUUAUAUUUUUCAUUAGUUUUACUCUGUGUUAGUGAUUUGUGUUUUUAUACUUGCAUGUUUCUAACCUUUGACCUUUUAAAUUCCCCAAUCUUUACAUUUUCAUGCCAGCCUUUUACGAUGAAACCCAUUUAUUUUAUCUCUUAUAAACUGCUGUAUUUUAUGAUUAGCUCAGAAUUUUCCAUCCGAGUAUAACUAUGAUAGAGCAUUCUAUUGUGUCCUAUAUUGUAGGGUGAUAGUUUUAAAGUAAAUGCCAUGCAUUUGUAAGUCAUUGAGAGAUGGGUAUGAUUUCCCCCAUAUGCUAUUUGUUCCCCAAUUUUCCUAUGUAUUGAAUAACAGAUCCCUCUCUGUUCUUUAAGUGUGCUGAGCUACUCUUAUAUACAUUUGGUUCCACUUAGAAUGACUUACUAUUUCAUUGCUAUAAAUGUCUGUUACAUGGUUUUGAUUGUUUGGAAUAUAUUUUGAUUUCUAGUUGCAUAAAUUCCCCUUCUCCCUUAUAAUUACCUUUCUCGUUUUGUUAUAUAAAUUUUAUAAUCAAUAAAUAUAAUAGCUAAAUUUACACAGCACUUUUCAGGUUUGCAAAAAGCUAAACAUAAACCAAAAUCUUUGAAGAUAGGAGAGCUUGUUUACUUUUUGUGAAGAAGGGAAACGGCCUCACUGGUUAGAUGACUUGCUCGUGAUCCCCUAAUCAAUAACUGCCUGAGGUAGGAUUCAAACUCUGCUCUUGGUUUUCCAGUCUGAACCUCUGCUACCCAGCAGGAAUGGGUUGUGAAUGAGCCCAUUGGUGGUAAGUCCAUGUAAUAUCAAAUCAGAGGUAGUGCUGUAAUAAUGCAUGUUGUGUCCAUGUGGAGUUAUCUAAAAAUUGUCUGAUUCACUUCUCAAAUGUAUCUGUAUUAAACCCAAAUAUUUUAUUGAAAGUGUUAUUUCUACAGAUUUCUUUAAAUUAAAAAAAAAAGGAUUAUUAUAAAACUUUGAUUUUUAGAGUUUUAUCCUAUAUUUUGCUGAAACUGUUAUAAUCCAGAUUAGGUUUUUCUUUUGUUUUGAAAAUAUGGUGUAUAUUUUUCAUGGGCCACACUAAAGUCUCAUCUAGGCUUUGAUUUGCCCCAGUAUUAGAAUCUAUUAGAAUGCUCAGAAUUAUUGGAAUUGAAUUCCAGGAGGUAACCCUAAGAACCUGAUUACCCCUUUGUCAUACUGAAGUCCACUUAGGCUCUAGAAUUCUGUAUAUCGUUUCUGUAGCUGUGUAUCUGUUUGUCUCAAUAAUGUAGUUCAAAGCCUUCUCUUCCCCUUCCCCCCAAUAAUCUGAUGCCCUUUACAGCCCCAGCCACCCUGAACUCUGAUAGGUCUCAGUUGCUGAGCUUUUGUCCCCUGAAAAUUCCAUUCUUUUUUUUCUUGGAGCUUUGUAUGAAUUCCAGCAACUCCCUACUCUACCCCUUCAGAGCACACAACGAACUUCCCUCCUGGACUGGUCCCCGUCACUUGUAUUUCUCAGAUGAUGUUGUAUGUUGUUCUCAGCUUCAUUUGUUAGGCAAACUAUACUGCAGAAAUUGUCUAAGAUGGUGAUUUAGUAUAACACCAGAGCAGUGAUUCUUUGGGGCAGUUUUUUAUCUUGGAUGCUGACCUUGGCCAUGUGCGUUGUUUCCUUGUCUAAUCGAAUCUUUUUCUAAAUGGUAACUAUAAAUACUGUGUAAAUAUGUGUGGAUCAAUGGCCAGAUACUUCUGUGAAGAUCUGCUUGUUUUAGUCACAAAUCCUUCAGAAAUGUUUAAUGUUCUGUGUCAACCAUUUCUAUCGUCAUUACCUCAAGACAAUUUGAGGUGACGGUUAUAGAAGUCUUGAGUUACAGCCCUAUAUACAUAAGCCAAAAGUUCAAAGCCAGUUUGGAGUUUCUAUCCCUACUCUAAAUAAAAUAGACCGUCACUAAACUAAGGUUACUCAGUUCCUGCUAGGACUAUCCUCAGGUGGCAAGGGGGGGCCUUCUGGUGAUCGAUAUCCUAAUACUUGCCAUGUGGAUGAAAGGCCACUGGACUUGGAUCAGGGAAUAAGGAAGGCCCUUAGUUCCAAGGCACAUUUUUGUUCUGUUUGUCUCUUUAUCCCCAGUUCUUCAUUUUUCACGUUCUUUUGUGAAGGGAAAAGGUCUGCGCGAGGUCUUAAAUCCGAGUAAUAAUAUUUCUUAUUAUUUUUCCAUUGAAACAGAAAGGUUUCAUGAUAUGUAUCCGUCCAGAGACCGUAUAGAAAUGUUGAUUUUAUUUUUGUAUUUACAUUCCAUUUUCUAAAACUAAUUGUUUCGAUUAUACUCUAGUAACCCCUUGGUUCUCGUCAUAUGGCCGUGGCCCAUGAUAGUAGCAACUUGAUCUAAGCUUUCCCCCUUAACCUUCCUAAGCUCUCAGUGCAGAGUUCUUCAAGUAGGUGGUUAAUGAUUGUUGUUUUUAAAUUGAAUGCCUCGUGGAAAAGGUGGUGUCCUGGUAUGCUGGGAUAGUACUAACUAGCUUUGGUUUGUGACUCUGGUCAUUGAAGUUUUAUUUCAGUGCUGAUUUCAGAUAUUCUGUAUAAAUCCAUUAAGUGCAAUUUAACCAAGCAUAUGUGUGUGCAUUAUGCCUCAUGGAGACUAUUAGAGCCGUGUCUUGUAAUAUCGGAGAACUAGUGUUACACUUGUCUGAAAUGAUCCCAUUUUUCCUAGCAAUGCUCUGAAUACAAGAAGGAAGCAUCCAGUCACUGCUAAAAAUGCAGGAGCCCUUUUUCUCUGCACAGAUUAUGGAUAUUUGUUUCUUGAACCAUAUUCAGAGGCUCACAUACCUUCCUGCUGCCCCAACUGUGAUAACCUUUCUCCCAAGACUUUGUAGGACCAGAUUCUUACCUCCCGUGUAUUUUCCAUAAAAGUUUGGAAAUGUUGUCUCUCCCUGCAGCUCUCCCACUUCCUACCAUUCAGGGGGUAGUGACCUUUCUCAGACCUUCAGUGGUAACCCUUGAUUUAUAGCACCCUGAUAGAAUGGAUGGUUGGUCAUUUUAGGAUAAAAGAAAAAUCAUAACAUGAAUAGAUCUUGAGGAGUUUGAAAUUUUGUAUGUGUUCAUUGACUUGAAGUAUCCUAAUGGAGUCAGAGGCAUUGGCAGUGCUGCCGAUCUUGAUUGAAGGGUGUUACAUUGCUUUGAGAUCAUCGUGCCCAUUUUGCCACAGCUCAAAUGGCAAUUGAAUUAUCGUCUUAAACAAUAUUGGCCAAUUUGGCUGCAGUGUAUUAUGGCAGUUUUUCUAGUUUGCUUUUCUCUUAGUUGUAUUUCUUUUAAAAGCCAUCUGAGUAUAUCCUAAUCUUUUGGGAAAUCAUUACUUAUACGUAUUUUACACUCAUUCAAAUGUGUUAUAUACAAUGGUUAUAAAUAUUUUGGUUAAUGGAUUUUUUCCCCCAAGAAUACCUCCUCCCCAGCCCUAUGUAUUUGUUUGCCUUUUUCCCUUUGUUUUAUAAUUUGUCAGUAUAGUACCUCCUUUACAUGAUAUUGUAAGAUAUAAAAUGCAUUUUUGUAUAGUUUACUACUCAAAUAGUGCAAGAUUGCCUUUCUUAAUUCUUAAUGAUUUUAUAACUACAUUUAUAUUACCUCUCUAUUUGCAAUAUAUCUGGGUAAAUGAUAUGAAAGUUUAUUUUUCCCCUUUGAAAUAGAAUUUUCCUUCUGCCUUAGCUUUUGUAUUUAUCAAAUUGUAUAUUGUGUGCAAUAUAGUUUGUUGAUCUUUUCUGACAUAUACAAAUUUAUCUAAUAUUAGAUAAGUUUAUGGUAUUUUUGGAGUUAUAUAUAAAUCCAUCUCCCUACUUUCGUAUAAGUAGCUUUUAAAACUUGUCACAAAGUUUUUAUUUAAUCCUAUAAAGUAUUGAUCUUGAGACAUUGUGUAACACCAAAAAUCAAUAUAAUAACUGGGUCAGUUUUAAUCAUUUUUAGGAUACCUAACUGUAUCCAAAUUCUCAAAUUUCCUUAUUUCUCAAAAAAAAAUAACUGUAUCAUUGCAUCAACAGAACACUAAAGUCAAUGUCAUUUCUUCAAUUAUGUGGUUCAGCUUAGCAAUAGAUUAAGCAAUGUUUAGGUAAUUGGUUUCUCUUCCUUAUCUGACAUAGCAGUAAGUUCUAAGUCAGAGUUCUUUACAACCAAGUAAAAGGAAUCACAUUUACAUUAGUUAAAAUUAAAUGUUUUUUUAAAAAACAAGUAUUGAAAAAAAUUGCUCUUGAUUUAUAUAACACCUCCCCCCAAGAAACCAAGAAUUUUUUGCUGUCUUGGAUAGUUUGCUGUGACUUCCAUAAUUAUAUUCAGUGUGAAUAUGCAGGUGUGUAUAAAUAGAUACUUCUGGUAAUUCUGGCUCAGCUUUCUUCACGGUUCCUUCUUUCCUUAAGUCACUUCAUUUGGCACGAUUGUGUCACUUAUUUCCAGAUUUACCCUUGUCCCCCAUGAACCUUUCCUUGGAAUCAAUUAGAAAGCUCCUUAAAAGGGAGAAGUGCUUGUAUCUAGUUGCAUUUUUCUGAUGUAUAUGUGAGGUUCCAAUACAUUUGGCAAAGAUAUUCUCUUUUAUCCUGUUUCUUUUCUUGAUAAUUUUCACUCUGCUGCCUAUAACCUGUGUCUUGGUUGAAUACUUCAGAAUUGUGUAGUAAAGUUAAUUACAACAUUCCUCUAUCUCCUAAUAUUUAUUAUUUGGAUCAUUGACAUCAUUGGACUUUGUGGCAUAAUGUGGAAUAUCCCUUCCUUGGUGUUUUCCAUGAUCUUGAUUUUAUCUAAUACUAGUCUAUUCCAUCUGCAUUUCGUUUUAUAGUUCUUUAUCUGUUUGGUUCUGCAUUUCUAAUUUUUUGAUAUCAGAUACUUUUGAAAAAAUUUAAGGACACGUAAUCAAUGAUUUAUUUUCACCAAAUUCUAUGAAAGUGCAAGACAAAAAUCCUUUAAAUGGAUCUUUAAACUUUUCUUAAUUGCAGGGAGUUUUGUUUAAGAAAUAUACAUUAACGAGGUAAUGGCAUCAUGUUCUUUUCCAUGCCUUUCUGGUGUGGUUUGCUAUUUAUGUUCUUGUUGCCAACCAGUCCCCAAUUGUUGGGGACAAAUGGUUUUUCUAAGAAUAUUUUUGUACCAGGGAGAGCAAAUGUGGACCUUUCAGAGCCAGACUGAACCUAGGGCUUUCUGGCCCUAGGGACAAGAGUCUUGUCUGUUCCUCCCUUGUCCUUGGCUUCUUCCAACAUGGAAGCUAUGAACAAGUUUGUAGGAUUUUUGUCACAUUCAAAAAAAAAAGCCCGUGUUUCUCAAGUCCUUCCCAUUUGGGAUUCCAUAUAUUUUAACUGUCUUUGUCCUCCAAUAUGUAUAUAAAGUUAACAUCCUGGUGCUUAAGUUACAUUCUUCUUGCUAGAGGUUGAACAUUUUCAUGUGGCUAUUCUCUUGGAACUGCUUGUUCCCAUUUGUCUCUUGUGUUAGCAGCUCAUAAUACCACCAUAAGCUUCGAUGUCAGAAUUAUAUCCAAAAACGUUUGACAAAGAUUUUCCCUUAAUUUCUUGGUUUCCUUGUGCCUGUUGAAGAUACUUGUAAUCAUUGUGGUAGUGAUAUGAAAUUUAAUUCUUAGCUUUUAAAAAAAAUUGUAUUUGCCAUACUAAUUCACGUGGUGUGUUUUUAAUAUUUUUAUCCUCAGUAUUUGUGAUCCUGGAGUAGUUAAUACAUUUGAUGUGAACAGGUUUUUUUUGAACGAGAAUCAAUGUCUUUUUCUGAUUCAUAAUUAGUUCCAGAUAGUUUUUAGAAAUUUAGAAAUGUUGCCAUGCAAAUUUCCCUUUCUUUUUCCUUCCCAUAAUUUUCUUUGCUCUUCUGCAAAUUCAUUUUUACUUAUUAUUGUGAAAUAACCUAUUGGUGGUAUAUAAGUAAGCAAGUACUUACUUGCAAAUAGCAAACAAGUAGGUUUAAUAUAUUAGCUCCAUCUAGCCAUGCACAUUGAAUAUCUCAAGUUACUAAAUCUUUGCUCUUUAUCCACUGUACAAUUUAGCUGCCUCUAUGUAUUUUAGAUAGAGUUCUUCCUGGAAUUAGGAGGACAUGAGCUCAAAUUCCACCUCAUUUCACAAAUUGCUUAAUUCCCUUUGGAUCAAGAAUUAAUACUAGUUCAGGUUUUUUUUUUUAAGAUUACCAUUAAAUAUAAAUAUUUAAGUAAAUGCUUAAAAUACUUAGACUGAUCACAAAAUUAUCUUAAUAUUUUAAGUAUAAUUGCAUGUCUUGGUGGAUAAAUAUAACUGGCAAUAAUGACCAUCUAGGCAAAUAUAUUUCUUUUUUGUCUUUAAGUAUGAAAAUUUGGGAAUGACUUAUCUUGCUAUCUCGGUUUUAAUUUUUUUUUUUUAAAUUGCAUUUCUUGGUGUAAUAUGUUUCAGUGAAGCCAUUUGCUUUUGUAUCUUACUCCCUUCCCCUCCCAUAAUAUGCCCUUUAAAAUGCCCUACCAGCCCUUCCUCCUCCUUUCUUGCCAAGUGGAUGCUCCCUAUCCCUUCUAUCUGCUCAGCUCAUAACAUCGUGUUUAGACAGUAACAAAACUGUCCGUUUUGUUUCCAUGGUCCCUUUAUAUUCAUCAUUUUGUGUGGGACAAUCAGAUCCCUGAAGAUCCACAUCCACAUAGGCUGACUUUUUUGCCUCUGUUGUUGGACAGACAUGUGAGUUGUUUAGAGUUAAGUUUCCUCGUUAGUUGGUAAUAUUUUUAGUUCUAAUCAAUUGACGUGACAUUGUCUUGGAUAGAGAUUGUGGCUGUUUGUCCACAGAAGUAUUUGCUACAAAGAUUCCCCUUUAUACCCCCAUCUGUGGUUCAUUUUGUUGUAUGGUUAAAUAAUUGUCUAUUUGGAUACCAAGAAUUCUUUAGCUCUUGGAUAUUAUAGUUCAUUUUCUACUUUAACGCUUUAAAUCUUUGACAUAAUUGGAAUUGUGAUGUGUGAGAUGUGAAUCUAAAACGGCAUUACUAGAGUAAAAUAUAAUUUUCUGGUUAUUAAAAAUGAAAUAAUAUCUCCUUAAUAUGUUAACAUCUCGGGUUUAUCAGACUAUUAUCUAUCAUACACACUUUGGUUUUGACCUAUUAAAAAGCAAUAAUUGGUCUAUAAUUCUAGUUAAUAGUUUAUUUAGAUUUCCUUAUACAAAUCUUUCUUCCAAACACCGUCUUCCAAUUUUCUUUGAUACUAGCCCUACCUUUUCUUCUAAUUAUUAAGUAAUGAAUUGAAAUUAAAAUCUAAUGCAUUACCCAAUCAACUAAGGAACUGGGGUUAUUAUAUUGGCAUCUUGGCUGUAAUUUAUUGAUUUUUCUUUAACUUAUUUGUACAAAAAUGUUUGUAAUUUUUUAGGCUAUAUAUGUUUUAAUUGGUGAAUACUUUCCUUACUGCUCUGACCAUAUUCUCAAUGUUACCAAGACUAGGGAUGCAGCAGUUUUUGCCUGUAAUUUCCUCCCCAAAAGACCACCCCUCAUAGAGACGGCAGAAUCCAGCAAACACUGGGCCCUGGGCCACAUCCCCAGAUGUGUUGUAAGCAUGUGACCUCUGAUCCAAGGUGAGUGGUGGGUUUCAUCUCGGUUUUCCAUGCCGCGGCUCAGAAUGCCAUCGGUUUUUCUCGGGCGCCACUGGUAAACGGUUCUUGGGUUGGGGGAUCUGCGCUAUAUCAGUUCCUACAAGUUUCCAGACAGUUCUUGCAGGCCAAUAAUCUAAUCAUAGAUCCAAAGUGCUUAGUGUAGUUGUUGGAAACUAGAAAGGUUUUUAUGUAUGGUCCUUUUGUAACCUUUGCCUUUCUUGAAAUAUUAGUGAUUUAGAGCAUGAUUUUUUUUUUUUUUUUUUUUUUUUUUUUUUUUUUUUUUUGAUGACUUGGCUAUAAGGUCAUAUGCUUGGAUCACUUUGAGUAGGACUUUCAAACUAGUACAAAAUUCUCUUAGAUCUAAAUUAUACAGAAAUAUAGUUAUUUUCUGUUUUAAAAAAAAAAUCUUGGAAAUGAGACCUUUAUCAGAGAAACUUAAGGUGUUUAAUGGAAAAAACCAAAAUCUAUUCCCCCCUGGCAUUUCUAUAUUACCAUAUUUACAUACCAUUAUUACAUAUAAUAAUAUAUUUAUUUACAUAUAUUACCUUUAGCAAUUUGAUCCCAGGUCCUGUUUAUCACAGACUUUCUUCUACCCAUAGAUCUAAGGCAGAAAUCUCCCUUUCCUCUGAUUUGUCUGUCUGGCUCGUGUAUCCCUCUGAGGAGGGCCAUGGUGUGCAGUUUGCUCUGACUUUCCUUCUCCUGCUGUUGGCUGCUGUGACCCUUGGACCAGAACUUCCCCAGCCCCAACCCUGCUGCUGUGCUGGGGGUAGGUCUGGCCUGCAGGCUCCAACCUGGGCCGGCCUCUGUUCCCUCUGGGAGGUAAGACCGUGUUAACUUGGCCCAAAUCCUUCUGUUCACAUCUUUGAUCCUUGAGUUGUUGGCCCCGGCCCAUCGAUACCUGUAGCGGUUGCUUCUGUGUUUCGGAUGAGGACUUGCAGCCUCGCCGCCUGCUGUUCUGACUCUGAUAGUGAUUCCCUUAUGUCGAGCUCAUGUGGGACCUUCAGAGCGUGUGAUGUGAACUGCUGCUCCCACCCUGUUUUUCCCAUGAAUUGUUUUCCACGGUUCCAUGGUUUGGUGGACUUGGAAUUGUUCUCCCAGCUUCCUGUGGCCCGGUGGCCUAGAGGCUACUUCUGAUCAUUGCUUUGUAACAUAGCUUGAGCUCUAACAGAAGCCAAACCCCUGCGUUCCCAUUUGUUCCAUGAGUGUCCUUGACCUUUUGUUUCUCCAGAUGAAAUCUGUCUCUAGACUGACCCCUUUAGAGAAUGUUAUUUCACCUAAAAUCUCCCUGUUCUCCAAGUUCCCUAAACCCCCAGGGUCCUCCCUCUUCCUCCUUUCCUGUAACAAUCACCUUCCCCCCCAGAAAUCCUUUGUGCCCCGAGUGUUGACGCCCUCGUUUGGGGACUGGGGUUUGCCACAAACCUGAUUCUCCUUUGGGUAGAAAGUGAAUGAUUGGCCGUCCUUGCAUUUGGUAGAACGGCUUUCUUCCACACUUGACGGACACCAUGGAUGCCCAAGCACUCCCCGCCUGCCCCUACCCUCCCUGGCAGUCUGGGAGUGGGGGAUGGUGGCUGUCUGAAUCCCUUGGCUUUCUCAGUGCCCCCAGCCCCUCACCCACAUGGAAAGUCUUCCCUCCGGUACUCCUGGGUCUUUGGGAAGGAGGCCGGGAAGCCGGUCGUGGACCAUGAUGUCAAGGGAGUGAGAUGGGCCAGAGCUGGCCACUUCAUGUGCAAGCAGAUGGGAGACCCUCCUUCACCCUCUGGAAGCAAGUGAGCAGGAACCGCAGGGAAGCAGUGAGUGAGUGCCACAGGACGUGGGCCUGGGGGGAAGGGGCCUGUGGAUGACGUUGGAGGCAGUGGGGAGAGACCCAGGUUCAAAUCCUGCUCUGUGACUUGCUGUGGGGCCUUGGACGGGUCCCUCCACCGCCUUUUGUGUAAAGGGAGGAAGCUGGCUGUGGCCCCACAAGGGCUCUAUCAGGAAGGUGGCUGCUGUGGGCAGGACGUUCUUGGUUACUCGGUCUCCUUGGCCGGAUUUUUACCCUGUGGUCUUGGGUGGAGGAUGGGAUGAUGGAGGAUGGGGGAGGAAGAUGGCCGGCUGGGCCGGUGGCGGCUGCCAUCCCCAGAGAGACCCACUGUAUGGUGUAGUGGAGGAAAGCAUGGCUGUCCGGAGGGGGCGAGAGGGGUCUCUGCCAUAAGGAAGGUGUGCUCUGAACCCCAAAAGGCUGAGAAGCCCUUGUGAGCCCAGAGCGGGGGGGCAAUAAGGACACCUGUGGAGGAGCUAGGGCAACAUCCAGGACAGACCCAAGAGAGGAGGCAGAAGGAAGGUCAGCCCCGGGGGUUCCCCUCCCUCCAUUCCCUUCCUUCCUAGGGUUCAGCAAGAUUAAAUGGAAAAAGAGGAGCAGCUCAAGGCAGGCUUGGUAAGAGUUCCUUGGGAGCCUUGGAACGGGAGGGAUGGAGCAGCCGAAAGCCACAUCUAUGGGGAGGGGGGUGCCGGCCAAGGGCAAGGCCAGGCUCCAGAGGGCCCUAACCUUGACUCCUCUAGCAGCUCUGGAGGCCAGGCAGGAAGUCUCCUUUGUCCUCGGCUUGUCUUGUGAAUGACCUGCAGUAGAACCACCUCGUCAGUAGAGAACCAGCCUUGGGGAGCAGGACCAAGGGGAGCAGUGGAAAAAAGGAGGAAGGAAAGUGGAAGAGCAGGGAAAGGUCAGGUGGAGAAGGAGACAAGGAAAAGGAAAGGGAAAGAUGGAAAUGGAGGGGAGAGUAGGAAGGAUCUUGGAGGAAAGAGGAUAAGUCAGAUGGAGAGAAGAGAGAAGGAGGAAACUUGGAGAGAAGAUGAGCCAGGAGAGCAGGGGAAGCUCAGAUGGACAGAAAAGAAAGGGAGAGGAGGAGAGAAGAAAAGUUAGAUGGAGAGAGGAGGGAAAGGUCAGAUGAUGGAGAAAGAUGAAUUGUAGAAGGGAGAAGGUCAGUUGGAGAGAAGGGAGAUGAAUCGGCAGAGGGAGGUCUAAGAGCCUGUUCCUGGAGGCUGAAGGGAAGGAGGUUCCUCCUCCCUGGCAGUUCUGGGGGACAAUGGGGGGCAGCCCCGUCCGCGGGUGUUUCUUUUCCUGAGGCUGCUUUGCAGCCUCAGGUUUUGCUUUUCACCCUUAAAAUGUGUGUGUGAGAGAAGGUGCCAAAAAGCAAAAGGCACUGGUGGUGGCGCGCCCAGUGGGCCGGGGUUCGAGUCCCCGUGGUGCCUCUGCUGCUGCUGGCUCCCUUCUCUCCUGUG
rnacentral:lncRNA from 1 species